rnacentral:rRNA from 1 species
UAGCUAGUUGGUGAGGUAAAGGCUUACCAAGGCGACGAUCUGUAGCGGGUCUGAGAGGAUGAUCCGCCACACUGGAACUGAGACACGGUCCAGACUCCUACGGGAGGCAGCAGUGGGGAAUUUUGGACAAUGGGGGCAACCCUGAUCCAGCCAUGCCGCGUGAGUGAAGAAGGCCUUCGGGUUGUAAAGCUCUUUCGGCCGGGAAGAAAUCGCAUGGGCCAAUACCCUGUGUGGAUGACGGUACCGGAAUAAGAAGCACCGGCUAACUACGUGCCAGCAGCCGCGGUAAUACGUAGGGUGCGAGCGUUAAUCGGAAUUACUGGGCGUAAAGCGUGCGCAGGCGGUUUUGUAAGACAGGCGUGAAAUCCCCGGGCUUAACCUGGGAACUGCGUUUGUGACUGCAAGGCUAGAGUACGGCAGAGGGGGGUGGAAUUCCACGUGUAGCAGUGAAAUGCGUAGAGAUGUGGAGGAACACCAAUGGCGAAGGCAGCCCCCUGGGUCGAUACUGACGCUCAUGCACGAAAGCGUGGGUAGCAAACAGGAUUAGAUACCCUGGUAGUCCACGCCCUAAACUAUGUCAACUAGGUGUUGGGUGGGUAAAACCAUUUAGUACCGUAGCUAACGCGUGAAGUUGACCGCCUGGGGGGUACGGCCGCAAGGUUAAAACUCAAAGGAAUUGACGGGGACCCGCACAAGCGGUGGAUGAUGUGGAUUAAUUCGAUGCAACGCGAAAAACCUUACCUACCCUUGACAUGCCAGGAACUUGCCAGAGAUGGCUUGGUGCCCGAAAGGGAGCCUGGACACAGGUGCUGCAUGGCUGUCGUCAGCUCGUGUCGUGAGAUGUUGGGUUAAGUCCCGCAACGAGCGCAACCCUUGUCGUUAAUUGCCAUCAUUUAGUUGGGCACUUUAACGAGACUGCCGGUGACAAACCGGAGGAAGGUGGGGAUGACGUCAAGUCCUCAUGGCCCUUAUGGGUAGGGCUUCACACGUCAUACAAUGGUCGGUACAAAGGGUUGCCAAGCCGCGAGGCGGAGCCAAUCCCAGAAAGCCGAUCGUAGUCCGGAUUGCAGGCUGCAACUCGCCUGCAUGAAGUCGGAAUCGCUAGUAAUCGUGGAUCAGCAUGUCACGGUGAAUACGUUCCCGGGUCUUGUACACACCGCCCGUCACACCAUGGGAGCGGGUUCCGCCAGAAGUAGGUAGCCUAACCGCAAGGGGGGCGCUUACCACGGCGGGGUUCGUGACUGGGGUGAAGUCGUAACAAGGUAGCCGUAGGGGAACCUGCGGCUG